GAGGAAAGGGGCGGAGCAGAAGCGCGUGGCGGUUGCGUCUGACGCCAUGGCUUACGAAAAGGUGCCCGGGGUUGGGCAAUAGGUUGCGCAUGGGCAGUUGGAAGACGCACGAGAGAAUAGGCGGCUAGAUCGCAGGACUAUUGUGGUGGUGGGGAGGGCAGCGGUAAGGAGGAAAGAAGGAGCGCAUGCGCUGUUGGCUUCCUUGCGGUUAAAAAACAGGCCAUUAACCUUUGUACAAGACGCAUGCGCAAGGGGAGUGGCAGGCUAUUACAGGUCUACGAAUAGCAAGCUUUUUCGUAAAGAACGCUUCAGACGGGCGCAUGACAGUCAGGUUUCAUGAACGCAUGCGCAGAGAUGGGUGUGUGUGUUUUUUAACAGAAAGAAUUGUUUAGUUGGUAGGGAGAGGGAAGAACUGGUGGUUGUUUACUGUGCUGCUGGUAAAAAAGUAAACUAAAGGGGGGGGAUCUUACUCUCAAUAGUUUAGACUCUGACAUUGUUUCCACCAUUAAAAUGUAGAUCAUUUGUCCUUGUUGCUGUCAUGGUUAACCUUUUCAGCUAAGGUUGGCUAUCAAAAUGACUUUGCAGCAGUUAAAAUUCAGAAUAAAAGACUGUUAUGUUGAAAAUACCAUUUCUGGGAUAGCCCUACCCCACAAAGGUGCACUCCUUCAUUGUCUUCUGAGACAGACGGAUGCCAGGAUAGUGCAGUUGGUUAGAGUGUGCUGCUAAUAGCACCAAGGUUGCAGAUUGAGUCUCCAUAUGGGACAGGUGCAAAUUCCUCCUUGCAGGGGGUUGAACAGGGCAGGUCUGUGGUUGUUUCUGCCCCCCACCUCCAAUAUCAGCUCCAAAUCUUUCUGCCCUGAAGUAGGAAAUUCUGUGUAUCUGAAGUUUACCAUCACCAACAGAUGCUUGUGAUGGAAUCGUGACAUUAUGGCUGGAUGAGACACUGGAUGAACACCUGUUAAUUCAUUACAUUUGUAUCCCAAGAAUUCAAUAUGAUACAGUAAACAGAGAGCUCCCAUCUAGCCGCUGACCAAACCUUGAUCUGUUUGGCUUCAGCAUAAUUCUAGUUUCUUAAAAUAGAUGAGUUACCUCUUAUUUAUUUAUUUAUUUCAUAUCCUGCCUAUCUCCUAGGACAAGACCCAGUAUAGCUCACAACAUGAAUUUAAAAAACGUGAAAUUAUAAACUGGACAUAUUAAAGCUAAAAGCACACCAAUUAAUAUAAAUAUUUAAAAGCACACACAAAUAAGUUCUCUAUUAAAACAACACUGAAGUCAAACACCUAAAACCGUUUAAAAAUAAGCCAAAAAGGAAAUAUACAUCACCCACACUCAGAAUACUCUGCCACAAUAGCCUGUUAGUGGCCAUAGGCCUGUCCUAAACAAAAUAGUUGUUAGCUAGUGAAAGAAAAACGGGGGGCAGCCUAGCCGCUUGUGGAGAGGAGUUCCAUAAGCUGGGAGCAGUAGCUGAGAAGGCCCUUUCCCAUAUCCUUAACAAGUGUGCAUGUGAAGGUGACUGGACCGAGAGAGAGUCUCGCCCCAAAAAUCCCAGAGCCCAGGCAGGCUCAUAUAGGGAGAUACAAACUUUCAGAUUUGCAUGGCUCUUGUAAAGAGCAGUAGAAUUCCUGCCCACCCUUGUAGCGCAUGCUUAUGGGCAAGGUGGAGGUUAGCAUUCCUUUGUGAAUAAAGUGGGCAUGGUGCUUCUGGUUUCUUGGUGCAAAAACAGGAGGGGAUUGAACAGAAGCAGAUCCCCCAAAGUAGAGGGAAGAUUCUUGAGAUGUAUUAACACAGAAAGCCCAAAAUUCACAUCUGACUGGGAUGAGGGACAAAGAAAGCAGUGCUAGGAACACCCUGCCUAGAAAAGUCCACCUCACCCCUUUCCUUAUGUUCUUCUUUGGCAAUGCAGAAACUUUCCUUUCCAGCAUGGCUUUUGGCUUUUAAUGGUUGAGAAUCUUCACUGAAGACUUGCUGUGUUAAACUGCUAUUCUCAUUGUUUUCAUCUGCUGGGUUUCCACCUCUUUCUUAUCAACAAUGGCACUUUUCAGUGGUGUUUUUUAAUUUUUAAAAUGUAACUUUUUGUAUUUUUUAUACUGUUUGUAUAUUCCUUUCUUUUUCAGAUGCCUUGAUUUUUUUCCCCAAAGGGAGGGAUUUAAAUGUUUUAAAUAAAUAAAUGCAACAAU